UACGUAGGUGGCAAGCGUUGUCCGGAAUUACUGGGCGUAAAGCGCACGCAGGCGGUCUGUCAAGUCGGAUGUGAAAUCCCCGGGCUCAACCUGGGAACUGCAUUCGAAACUGGCAGGCUAGAGUCUUGUAGAGGGGGGUAGAAUUCCAGGUGUAGCGGUGAAAUGCGUAGAUAUUAGGAGGAACACCAGUGGCGAAGGCGGCUGUCUGGACUGUAACUGACGCUGAGGCGCGAAAGCUAGGGGAGCAAACAGG
rnacentral:rRNA from 1 species